rnacentral:ncRNA from 1 species
AAAAUUAACUAGCAAACCAAGCGAAAGCUUGGGACGCAAAACCUCCGGUCUAAGUCUUUCAAUGAUAGAUACGAUAGCGGGGUUACAUUA